rnacentral:rRNA from 1 species
UGACCUCAAAUCAGGUAGGACUACCCGCUGAACUUAAGCAUAUCAAUAAGCGGAGGAAAAGAAACCAACCGGGAUUGCCUCAGUAACGGCGAGUGAAGCGGCAAAAGCUCAAAUUUGAAAUCUGCGUAAGCCGAGUUGUAAUUUGAAGAUGGCUACUUUGGUAAUGGCUCUUGUCUAUGUUCCUUGGAACAGGACGUCACAGAGGGUGAGAAUCCCGUGCGAUGAGAUGUCCAUUACCGUGUAAAGUGCUUUCGAAGAGUCGAGUUGUUUGGGAAUGCAGCUCUA